UACAGAGGUCUCAAGCGUUGUUCGGAUUCAUUGGGCGUAAAGGGUGCGUAGGUGGCGGGGCAAGUUUGGUGUGAAAUCCCGGGGCUCAACCCCGGAACUGCACUGAAUACUGCCUUGCUUGAGCACUGGAGAGGGAACUGGAAUUUACGGUGUAGCAGUGAAAUGCGUAGAUAUCGUAAGGAAGACCAGUGGCGAAGGCGACUCACUGGACACGUAUUGACGCUGAGGUGCGAAAGCGUGGGGAGCAAACAGG
rnacentral:rRNA from 1 species